rnacentral:lncRNA from 1 species
CUGUGAUCCCAGUGCAGCUGACUCACAUCCAGCAUCUCAGUGGACUUCACAACAGUACGCCUGCACUCCUGGCUGCUCGCUGUCCCAAAUAUCCUCCAUUUGAGUGAGGAAAGGAAGUGGGGUGCAGCUGGCCUGCGGGAAGCUUUUGUUCCUGGAAACCACGAGGAAGUCAACACAUCAUUUGGGAAAUUGAAGAGGCAGCAGGGCUGGACUUGUGAGAACCAGUUUUCAAAGAAAAAGGAGUGUGGAAGGAUGGGGAAGGGGAAUGGUGGGAAGAACACGAGGAAGAACUUAGAUGUGAUCCAUACAGUUGGGCCGAUAGCAAGAGGGCACAUCACUGAUACUCAUAAAGAAAACUUGGCAAGUUGCUAUAAAUCCUCUCUGAAACUGGCAAAAGAGAACAGCAUCAGAUCACUUGUAAGUACUGUGUGAGAACCUAAUUUGAAUCGCUGUUUCCUUGCCUUAGGAUAACUAUUGAUAAACAACAGAAUUCCACAAGGAAUUCUUGAUGCACAUAAUAUGGAAAAAAUAGGUGUUUGCCCAAAAAAGUUGCUAGACAAAAAAAAAAAAAGGCAGAGAUGGCUUUAGCAGGGGCUCUAUGGAGGCGAUGGGAGGGGACAGUGGUAUAGCCCUUGCGUGGUUCCCGUGCCGAAGAGUGGCACCUCAACUUGUCUGUGCCACGUGCAGGGGAUGGCUGUGCAAAGGCAUGGCAGUUGUGGGUGCACAGUUGGCCAUGAGCUCUGGCCAACUGUUAUUUGGGUGAAAUAAAAUCAAUGUGCAGAUGGGAGUUGGAUGUGAU